UGUUCCUACGGGGGGCAGCAGUGGGGAAUAUUGCACAAUGGGGGAAACCCUGAUGCAGCGACGCCGCGUGAGCGAAGAAGUAUUUCGGUAUGUAAAGCUCUAUCAGCAGGGAAGAAAAUGACGGUACCUGAGUAAGAAGCUCCGGCUAAAUACGUGCCAGCAGCCGCGGUAAUACGUAUGGAGCAAGCGUUAUCCGGAUUUACUGGGCGUAAAGGGCGUGUAGGCGGGCCUGCAAGUCAGAAGUGAAAUCUGGGGGCUUAACCCCCAAACUGCUUUUGAAACUGUGGGUCUUGAGUGAUGGAGAG
rnacentral:rRNA from 1 species